UCCUGCCUCUUGAAUAAUCAGUGGAACACCAUUGUGAACGGCUCAAGGAGAAAGCUAAUGUAGUUGUCGCCUUGCAGGUACAGUUAAUGUCAAGUAAUGUGGGUGAGAAAAAUGUCGGUGCAGGACAAUUGAAUUGGAGGUGUGAUCGCUGCAUUGGGAUCAAUGAUUACUUAAGAGACAAAGGUUUGAUUUAGUUGCGGCAAUGGCAAGAGCAUAUUGUGCGGAAGAUGAUGAACCUUAAUGCGUUGAACCUUGUAUACUAGAACCUUGCAUGUGUUUUUGCAGAAGUAUUUUGUUGUGCACAUGUAAAAUUAUUUUGAUGUGCCCUUGUUAGGCGUUGAACCUUAAUGCGUGGUGUCGGUGGAUGAUGUAUUGUAUUUGAUGUGAUAUGCUACUGAAAUGAAAUAUACAUUUUAUUUACAAUAUUUUAUUCUGUUGUAUUUAUUUUUA